AUGGCGGCAUCGGCGGCGGCGAAGAAGCUCACGCUCAAGAGCUCCGACGGCGAGGACUUCGAGGUGGAGGUGGCGGUGGCGAUGGCGUCGCAGACCAUCAAGCACAUGGUGGAGGACGGCUGCGCCGACAACAUCAUCCCGCUCCCCAACGUCAACGCCAAGGUCCUCUCCAAGGUCAUCGAGUACUGCACGCAGCACGCCCCCAAGGCAGACGACGCCGCCACCGCCGACUCCGCCACCGCCGUCAAGCCCGACGAGGAGACGCUCAAGGCCUUCGACGCCGAAUUCGUCAAGGUCGAGCAGGCGACUCUCUUCGACCUCAUCCUGGCUGCCAACUACCUGGACAUCAAGGGGCUCCUGGACCUGACCUGCCAGACCGUCGCCGACAUGAUCAAGGGCAAGACUCCGGAGGAGAUCCGCAAGACCUUCAACAUCACCAACGACUUCACCCCGGAGGAGGAGGAGGAAGUGCGGAAGGAGAACCAGUGGGCCUUUGAGUGA
rnacentral:rRNA from 1 species